rnacentral:rRNA from 1 species
AACUUUCAGCAACGGAUCUCUUGGCUCUCGCAUCGAUGAAGAACGCAGCGAAAUGCGAUAAGUAAUGUGAAUUGCAGAAUUCAGUGAAUCAUCGAAUCUUUGAACGCACCUUGCGCUCUUUGGUAUUCCGAAGGGCAUGCCUGUUUGAGUGUCAUUA